rnacentral:rRNA from 1 species
UGCAGUCGACGGUACGGGUCCUUCGGGAUGCCGACGAGUGGCGAACGGGUGAGUAAUAUAUCGGAACGUGCCCAGUAGUGGGGGAUAACUGCUCGAAAGAGCAGCUAAUACCGCAUACGACCUGAGGGUGAAAGGGGGGGAUCGCAAGACCUCUCGCUAUUGGAGCGGCCGAUAUCAGAUUAGCUAGUUGGUGGGGUAAAGGCCUACCAAGGCAACGAUCUGUAGUUGGUCUGAGAGGACGACCAGCCACACUGGGACUGAGACACGGCCCAGACUCCUACGGGAGGCAGCAGUGGGGAAUUUUGGACAAUGGGCGCAAGCCUGAUCCAGCAAUGCCGCGUGCAGGAAGAAGGCCUUCGGGUUGUAAACUGCUUUUGUCAGGGAAGAAAUCUUCUGGGCUAAUACCCCGGGAGGAUGACGGUACCUGAAGAAUAAGCACCGGCUAACUACGUGCCAGCGGCCGCGGUAAUACGUAGGGUGCGAGCGUUAAUCGGGAAUUACUGGGCGUAAAGCGUGCGCAGGCGGCUUUUGUAAGACAGAUGUGAAAUUCCCCGGGCUCAACCUGGGGAACUGCAUUUGUGACUGCAAAGGCUAGAGUACGGCAGAGGGGGAUGGAAUUCCGCGUGUAGCAGUGAAAUGCGUAGAUAUGCGGAGGAACACCAAUGGCGAAGGCAAUCCCCUGGGCCUGUACUGACGCUCAUGCACGAAAGCGUGGGGAGCAAACAGGAUUAGAUACCCUGGUAGUCCACGCCCUAAACGAUGUCAACUGGUUGUUGGACGGCUUGCUGUUCAGUAACGAAGCUAACGCGUGAAGUUGACCGCCUGGGGAGUACGGCCGCAAGGUUGAAACUCAAAGGGAAUUGACGGGGAACCCGCACAAGCGGUGGAUGAUGUGGUUUAAUUCGAUGCCAACGCGAAAAACCUUUACCUACCCUUGACAUUGUCAAGAAUUCUGCAGAGAUGUGGAAGUGCUCGAAAGAGAACUUGAACACAGGUGCUGCAUGGCCGUCGUCAGCUCGUGUCGUGAGAUGUUGGGUUAAGUCCCGCAACGAGCGCAACCCUUGUCAUUAGUUGCUACGCAAGAGCACUCUAAUGAGACUGCCGGUGACAAACCGGAGGAAGGUGGGGAUGACGUCAGGUCCUCAUGGCCCUUAUGGGUAGGGCUACACACGUCAUACAAUGGCCGGUACAGAGGGCUGCCAACCCGCGAGGGGGAGCCAAACCCAGAAAACCGGUCGUAGUCCGGAUCGUAGUCUGCAACUCGACUGCGUGAAGUCGGAAUCGCUAGUAAUCGCGGAUCAGCAUGUCGCGGUGAAUACGUUCCCGGGUCUUGUACACACCGCCCGUCACACCAUGGGAGCGGGUUCUGCCAGAAGUGGGUAGCCUAACCGCAAGGAGGGCGCUA